AUGUGUUUGACGAAAAGCAUGAAUAAUGUUGCGCAUACAGCGUUCCAUCCAGAUCACAGUGGAAUUGCAGGGCGUGAUGUCAAGGGGUUAAACAGUCUUAACUACUUCACUGGUCGAUUAACAUUAGUGCGUAAGUUACAACGGUCGAAAAACAGAGAGAUACAACACCAUUCAAAGCGCCGCGGCAAGAUGGAGGGUAAGGAAUUUAUAAUGACAGCUCUCACAAAUAUGCGGGGCUGGUGUGAUUGUGCCGCAGUGGAAGCCGAAUAA